AACGUAGGUCACAAGCGUUAUCCGGAUUUAUUGGGUGUAAAGGGUGCGUAGACGGGACAACAAGUUAGUUGUGAAAUCCCUCGGCUUAACUGAGGAACUGCAACUAAAACUAUUGUUCUUGAGUGUUGGAGAGGAAAGUGGAAUUCCUAGUGUAGCGGUGAAAUGCUUAGAUAUCACGAAGAACUCCGAUUGCGAAGGCAGCACACUAAGCCGUAACUGACGUUCAUGCUCGAAAGUGUGGGUAUCAAACAGG
rnacentral:rRNA from 1 species